GUCUACGACCAUGCCACCCUGAAGAAGCUGGAUCCCGUCUGAUCUCGGAAGCUAAGCAGGGUCGGGCCUGGUUAGUACUUGGAUGGGAGACCACCUAGGAAGGCCAGGUGCUGUAGGCA
rnacentral:rRNA from 1 species